CAGUGAUUCUCACUGGCUGGCUAAGAUAUUUUUUUUAACAAAUCAGAUUUAAAUACACAACUUAAAAACCUAUCUGCCAAUUACUUGAAUAUUUUAUACGACCCCUUUUCAUGUAGGAGCCAAGAAGAUGUGAGACCAACUGUCAGUUUUCCAAUGAUGCUGCAAAUAAAUUAUUUAUUUUCUGGCAACAUUCCAAUUUUUAAACCUGACUAUGACCUUUGUUGACCUCUCACUGAUUAAUUUAUAAUCUGCACACACACACCUCACUUUAGGUGCAUCACCCCCUUGUUCGGUAAUUAAAAAUUUACCUGUUUUAUGAAAAAAAAAAAACAACCCCUUAUUAUGAUUGAAAUGCACAGAACUUACAAAUAUUUUACAGGAAAAAAUUGACAGAAUUGGCCUCUUGAAAGAAUAAUAGACAAAAACCCAAGUAUGAGUUAUCUCUCUUUAUCAGGGGGUAAAUGUACCUUAAUCAGACUCAGGAAGAAGAGCGUUUUUCUAGUUUUUAGAUAUUUUUUUGUUCAUUUCUGCCUGCGUAUUUGACUAACCUCACAGUACAGUCACCUCAGUGUAAAAUCACAGAGUCUCACAGAGUUUUCUUUUUAAUGAUCUGGACUCCAAAAUCACAUGGAUUAAUAAACUUUGUGUUUGUAAGGUUUUAUUUUUUUUUAUUUGACUUGCAAUAUAUAGGAAUAUAUUUUUGUUAUUCCUUUCAUUUGGUAUGUCAUUGAAAUAUUGCAAUUAUGGGUUUUUUUUUAAAUUUGUUAUUUAUUGUUUUUUUGUCGCUUUUGUUAAUUCUAGAGCACCAACCUUUGAAAUUGUCAGGGGUAUAUUUUAGAUGUAGAUUAAUAAUAGUUCAACCAAAGGCAAUAUUCUUGUAUGUUCUUAAUGUAUGUUUUUACUUGCAAUGAUUAUUCACAAUCCUUGGAUAUUGUGUUCAUAUUUUGAUGACAUCAUCAUUUUCUGUAGAAAGCAUCACCAGAAAAUGCUUAGUUACUAGAACUGCCCUAUCACCAAAUGCUAUGUAUGACACCUGCUUCCUUCUGCUGAUAAAUAUUUAUCUGGUGCUACAUCAUAUAUCUAUUUUUUUUCUUCUUUUUAUUAGAAAAUGACUACGCAUUUGCUUAGCAUUUUUUUGUGUUACAUGUCUUCAGCAUUUCGUAUAGUACGUGUAUAAAAAAGUAGAUAUUAAUUAUUAAGACAACAAUUUUUUUUUACCCAGGGACGUUUCAGUAGAGUGUAUGUGUCCAGUGUUUCGCUUUUAUGUUAGACUUGUGCAUGCUGUAAAGUGCCAUGUAUCGCCGAGGACCGAGGACUGAGGACCGAGGGCCGAGGACUAAAGCCAGUGCUAUAGAUAGAUGUUUGUGACGUAUUCAUUGUUAUCAUCCAUUUUAGAUCUAGUUGUCUCCUUAUCAAUUAGAUAUGAAUAAAUGUUAAGAAAAUGUUU
rnacentral:sRNA from 1 species